AAAACAUCGUAAUUUCUAGGAUACAAAAUCGCCGCAUGUGCUGACCACUCCAUUUAGGUGAGUCGAUUUCUAAAACCGAAACACCCCAUUAAUUCCCGACAAUAUUUUCUUAGGCUUGACAAAGAACAAGAUAGCAAUGCAGUCUUUGUUAUUGUAGUUUAUGAAUGGUGAGAACCUCCAUGAUUCUUGCAAUUCGAAUUCAAAUUGACCUAGGAACGAACGAUCAUACGACGAGCAAGGUGUGCACUAGUACGGUGUACCGUGUGCAGUUGCAGAAACAGCCGGAGUCGAGCACUGGCAGUACCGAUGGCAC
rnacentral:lncRNA from 1 species